AUCAGCCCGGGGUUUGCACAGCACUUUGACGUACGUGUUGAGUGAUAUCGGCGAUCCUUGGUUUCGUGAUGAACACUGCCCCAGUUCACGUUGGAGUGCUAUCUGACGACCGGGCUAGUCGCCCUCCCCAGAAGCCAAAAUAUGAUUACUACCUACGUACCAAGAUAUGUAAAAAUACCUUUUAAAUACAGUAGAUAUUAAAUAGCUGAAAUAAGGUAUAUAAAUAUCGUUUUAAAAUAUCCCGAUAUCCUUUUUUUAGGUAUUCAAUACCAUACCUAUAAAAUAGGUAAAAAAUAGGUUUCAUAUAAAAGCCUUAGCAAAUUUGGAUAUAGUGUAAGUAAAGAAGAACACUAAUGAGUAAGCGGUAUAUGCAUCUCUAAGAUGCUUGUGUGAAAAAUAAUCACAGAUCUGAAAAGAUGAAGGACCUUCCCCUCUUGAAAGACUCUCCUUCCAUUGCUGUCCCGAGGAUCAUGAUGGUCAAACCCCGAUGAUUUAUUCUACAUACGUCCUCUCGGUGAGCUAGAUGAACAAUACAUUGUGAAUACCAAUGCGAUUCAUUGCAGCUAUCAUGACCCCAGGAUGUUUAAAACCAAGGUGAAAAUUCUCUCUUUCUUUAGAGUUGUGGAAACUCUUUGAAAAAACACCUAAAUAGGAGUAAAAAUCAUUAACUUGUGAUUUCUGGAACAAAAAAGACAACAGCGAAUCCUGAUGGCAAAAAUAGGAAUUAGAUGCAAGUAUUUGAUACAUAUCGACAGUACAACUACCAGAUCACAUAUGUCAUUUACGGUAGUUUAAAAAUCUCCGCUCCCAUUUUAUUUUUUUGAAGGAGAACAAAUCAAUAUCAUCUCUUGAAAUCUUCACAGAGACGUUUUCAAGGAUUGACUUUGAGUAGUUUUCCCUUAAAUUAUAAAGUACGUCAGGCAGUCUACGACAUAGCAAACGGAUACCUAUCCUGGUAGUUUCACCAUGGAUAUGUAAUAGACACUGUAUUUAGAUUACAAGUAUUUUAUACUGUAUAAAAUAUAUAUUAAAUAAGGUAUCCACUUGAUGAGUACCUAUCUGAUACUAGUAUUUUGGCUAUUAGGAUCCUUGGAUCCAAACGACGAUCCUUUGUAGUUAUAAUUUUAGAUGUUGAGAAGAGAGGAAUUAAAAAGAAAGUUAAUUUUUAUGAUACAAACUGAUAGGUAGGUACACUCACGCGGCAAAAAUAAAAAAAUAUCUUGAUAGUAUAAAUAUUCGUAACACUUAUUGAAUGUAAUUUCUCUUGAUCAGAAUGAUUUACGA
rnacentral:lncRNA from 1 species